rnacentral:lncRNA from 1 species
AGGAGAAAUGAGGUGAGGAGGACAGAGAGAGAGAGAGAGCACAUGAAGAGGGAUGAGAGGAUGUGGAGGAGAGAGAGUCAAGAUGACACGAGAUAAUAAGAGAGGAGGAGAUGAGAGGAGAGAGAGGGAGGAGGAAGAAGAGGAGGAGGAGGAGGAGGGUAAGUUUCCUCCUCAGGGGAGACGUCGACCUGUCAGAGUAAAUGUCUCCUCUGCAGGGAGAUAAAAUCAUAUUUAAAGAUCAGACGCCUUAAAUCCUGACCAGCUCUGUUUGAAGAACCUUGAAGGAGACAAAGAGGAGGAGGAGGAGAAAGAGAGGGAUGAAGAGGAGGAGGAGGAGGAGGAGGGAGGGAGGGGUGUAUAUUAGCUCUUUAAUCAGCAGAUUUCCCUCCACAGUCAGGGCUUUGUGUCGGAGUUGAACCUGCUGAUAUCAGAGCUGUGAUUGUCUGAUACAGAAACGGGCCUUUACUUUGUUCUCAAACUACAGAAAACUACAGAAAACUACAGCAAACUACAGAUAACUACAGGAAACUACAGAAACUACAACUACAGGAAACUACAGAUAACUACAGAAAACUACAGCAAACUACAGAUGACUACAGAUAACUACAGCAAACUACAGCAAACUACUGUAAGAGUCUGAUACAGGAAUGGGCCUUUACUUUGUUCUCAGACUACAGCAAACUACAGCAAACUACAGGUAACUACAGAAAACUACAGACAACUACAGAUAACUACUGUGAGAGUCUGAUACAGGAACGGGCCUUCACUUUGUUCUCAAACUACAGGUAACUACAGAUAACUACAGCAAACUACAGGUAACUACAGAUAACUACAGCAAACUACAGGAAACUACAGAAAACUACUGUAAGAGUCUGAUACAGAAACGGGCCUUCACUUUGUUCUCAGACUACAGCAAACUACAGAUAACUACAGAAAACUACAGAUAACUACUGUGAGAGUCUGAUACAGGAACGGGCCUUUACUUUGUUCUCAAACUACAGAUAACUACAUGAAACUACAUGAAACUACAGAUAACUACAGCAAACUACAGCAAACUACUGUAAGAGUCUGAUACAGGAACGGGCCUUUACUUUGUUCUCAGACUACAGCAAACUACAGGUACACACAGGAAACUACAGAUAACUACAGCAAACUACAGAUAACUACAGAAAACUACUGUGAGAGUCUGAUACAGGAACGGGCCUUUACUUUGUUCUCAAACUACAGAAAACUACAGAUAACUACAGAAAACUACAGGUAACUACAGAUAACUACAGAAAACUACAGCAAACUACAGAUAACUACUGUAAGAGUCUGAUACAGGAACGGGCCUUUACUUUGUUCUCAAACUACAGAAAACUACAGAUAACUACAGAAAACUACUGUGAGAGUCUGAUACAGGAACGGGCCUUCACUUUGUUCUCAAACUACAGCAAACUACAGAUAACUACAGAUAACUACAGGAAACUACAGGUACUCACAGGAAACUACAGCAAACUACUGUAAGAGUCUGAUACAGGAACGGGCCUUUACUUUGUUCUCAAACUACAGGUACUCACAGGAAACUACAGAUAACCACAGUAAACUCAAGUAACUUCCAGUUAACUUUAGGAAACUCCAGUAAACUUAAGGGAACUACACUAAACUACACUAAAGUACACUUAACGACACUAAAGUACAGAAAACCACAGCAAACUCCAGGAAACUAAAGCAAAAUCGAGUAAACUACAGCAAACAAACAAAGGUUCAUGUAAAAAGAGAGGAAGAAUUUAAUACGUCAAAAAAACAUUUCUCACUGAAGGACAUCCUCACAGAGUCUCAGUUUCACUGUAAUAGUCUCUCUUCACUCUGGUUUCCUGUUGUCUGUCUGUCUGUCUAGAGUCUCAGUUUCGCCCUGACUCAGAAUCUAAAAACAAACCUUCUCUUCGCUUUGCUUCAAAAACACGAUGCUCAUCAGUAAGGAGUACAUCAGUAAUUUAACAGCUUUCUUAUUCAGAGACAGUGAAAAACCAUUUUGGAGAUCGGUCCAUAUUUAGAGUUCAAAAUGUUGGAAUGAUAAUAAUCUUUAAAGUGUUUUUAAGUGUAAAAAAGUGUUUGAAAAAUUAUAUUUAACUAAAAUAAGAGAAAUGUUUGGAAAACAACGAUUUCAGAUUAAAAAGUUCUGAUUGAGCUUCAUCAGGUCGGGGUCACAGGUCCUGUUAAAGACUGAAAACUACAUGAGACCAUUUUCUUACAGACACUCACUGACGUUAUCCCAGAGACGGAGAAACAGCAGGAUCGAUCUCAAAGAGAGAGGAGAGUCAAAGAUCAGGGAGGAAACAGAAAUAUCAGAGAGUUCAACUCAAGUAAAGUUCUUCAAACAGAAACCAAAGAAAACCAGCUGAUGGUGCCGAAAAACCAAAAUAUAAACAUUAAUCUCCAUAAGUUAGUAAACUGCAGAGGGAAGUAGGGCUGGGCGAUAAAACGUUAAUGAUAUAUAUCCAACAUUAAUUUCCCUCAAUAUCAAUAUCAAACAUGAUCAAUAAGCUUAUCAAUAGUCGUCAUUCUGACAUGUUUUGGUCGACUAUACGAACAGCCAAUGAAAAGGGGAGUUUCUCCGGGUCUGAACCAAUCAUGUUCUGAAUUAGAACCAAGUAUCAACCAACUGCAGCGUCGUAGCAGACAGCAGCUCCACCCAACCAUAGCACUUUAACAGGUGAAGCCGACAGCACUGUUGGUGAGAAACAAAGAAAAUGAGUGCUACCCCCGACAGAAAUGACCAUGAAGGCUCAACAGAUGACCACAUCAAUGUCAACCACAACACUGGCGUUAGGAAAACGUCGGUGGUGUGGAGGUAUUUUGGUUUUUGGAGGUCGGACAUGAAGCAGAGUAAUGUGGACUGUAAAUUAUGUCGAGUUCAUGUUAAAUGUUAAAAGUGAUUUUUGAUAUUGUGAUCUGUAUCGAUAUCGACUGAUAUGGAAAAAAAAUAUCGUGAUAAACUUUUUCCCAUAUCGCUCAGCCCUAAGCACAGCUAAGGUGGUGAUCCAACCUCUCCUGAGUGAACGUUUCAUAAGGUCACAGAUUUGAGGGGGAACCACAAAAGUUCCUGUCGAUCAUCUCAGUAAUUUUGACCCGUGACCAUCUGAUCCGGUUCAUGAGUUAGACUUCUUAUCCUGGAGCUGGACUCACCCUGAAAAUGUAGAGGGUACACUAACCGGUAACCACGGUGACCACAGCUAACAAAACUGGAGUCCUGAACCCCGGUCUCUGACGGUUUGUGAUGUUUCUACAGUAAAUUCAUACAGACCCAAACUGAUCGGUUCUGAUCCGGUUUCUCUGGACUUGAUUCAAACAAGAGAGCUGAGCGGAUAAACCUAAGAGAGAGAGACCGAAAACUUUACCAACGUGUGCUUUUUGUCCGGGUUUAACGUGACUGCAGGAUGAGUUAACACACACACGCACACACACCUGCUGGAAACCUGCUCCCAUUGGCCGGGCUUGGCGGUGGGUGUGGUAUCGAUCAGAAACACCAGCAGCGAUUAUACGACUUCACACUGAGCCUGCAGCUCAUCACUAUUCACUGAGGACAACACACACACACACACACACACACACACACACACACACACAUCAGUGACUCUUUGAUUAAUGCUAAUUUGUGUGUGGACGUGUAGCGCCUUAAUCCUCCUCUCUAAUUGGUCUUUCAUUAUGAGUGUGGGGGUGGGGGCUGGGUUCAGGGGGGCGUGUCUGUGGCCCUCCGUUAAGGUGGUGUCACCUUAUUUUGUGGCUCAGCGUGGAUGGAUGAGGCCGUGGCGUGCUCACAGACACAAACACACUAAACUUUCCUCUAAAAAACUGAACGAAGAGUCCUAAAACUAAAAGAUUCUAAAGUUUCUAAUCCUGCAGUAAUGUCCCAACUGUCCACCAGGGGGCAGCAGAAAUGAGCUGACAGGACUCAUUAAUAUCCUCUCAUUUUAAAAUAUGAUAGGGUAGAACAGAAAAACUGCAGUUCUUCUCCUGUCCACUAGAGGCUGUCUCCUACGGUGAGCCCGUGUUGUUAGCUGACUGUACUCUAUUCAGGCUGCCAUCUUUGUUUUGGUCUGUCAACCAAUCAGAGGCUGUAUCUGUGAUCAGCUGACGGUGCAGUUACAGGUGAGAGCAGCCCGAAGCAGACCUCACAGUCGGUCCUCAGAAUAGAAAUAAGUGAGACAGAUCUGUAAUGUCCCACGGAGUAUCAGGGCCACAUUUAGAAACAACACAAGACUUCGAGAUUAAAGUCGUUAAUUUAUGAGAAUAAAGUCAUUACUAACUAAAGUCAGAAUAAAGUAGGCUAAUUACUAAUUAUGGCUCUCAUUUCAGUAAUUACCUUAUUACAACUUUAUUCUUAUAAGUAAUAAUUUAAUCACAUUCUUUAUCUUCAUAAUUACUUUAUUACAACUUGAAUUACACGAGUAAUAACUUUAUAUUAACUUUCUUCUUAUAAGUAAUUACUUAAUUACAACCUAAUUCUCAUAAGUAAUUACUUUCGCGACUUUAUUCUUAUAAUUCAUUAUUUUACUACGACUUCAUUCUUAUGAGAAAUUAUUUAAGGCUUUAUUCUUAUAAGAGAUUACUUUAUCAUGACUUUAUUCUCAUAAGUUAUUACUGUAUUAAUAUUUUAUUCUUAUAAAUAAUUACUUUUUUACGACUUUAUUCUCAUUAGUAAUAACCUCAUUCUUAUAAGUUAAUCACUUUAAUCUUUUUUUUUCCUGAUGUGACCCUGAAAGUCCGUCGUAGUCAUGGCUGGAUUCUAGUGUCAGUAGAUCUGUUCUUUCUCUGUGUCAAUGGUGCUUUAUUUACACACGAUUAACGAUUUAAUUAAAGACAUCAUGAUCAUAAUUUUGUUAAAAAGACAUUAAAAACAAGUCAUUUUA